UACGUAGGGCGCAAGCGUUGUCCGGAAUUAUUGGGCGUAAAGAGCUCGUAGGCGGCUUGUCACGUCGGUUGUGAAAGCCCGGGGCUUAACCCCGGGUCUGCAGUCGAUACGGGCAGGCUAGAGUGUGGUAGGGGAGAUCGGAAUUCCUGGUGUAGCGGUGAAAUGCGUAGAGAUUGGGAAGAACACCGGUGGCGAAAGCGCUCUGCUGGGCCGUUGCUGACGCUGAGGCGCGACAGCGUGGGGAGCAAACAGGG
rnacentral:rRNA from 1 species